rnacentral:rRNA from 1 species
CUACGGGACGCUGCAGUGGGGAAUAUUGCACAAUGGGCGCAAGCCUGAUGCAGCAACGCCGCGUGGGGGACGACGGCCUUCGGGUUGUAAACCUCUUUUAGUAGGGAAGAAGCGCAAGUGACGGUACCUACAGAAAAAGCACCGGCUAACUACGUGCCAGCAACCGCGGUAAUACGUAGGGUGCAAGCGUUGUCCGGAAUUAUUGGGCGUAAAGAGCUCGUAGGCGGUUUGUCGCGUCUGCUGUGAAAAUCCGAGGCUCAACCUCGGACCUGCAGUGGGUACGGGCAAACUAGAGUGCGGUAGGGGAGAUUGGAAUUCCUGGUGUAGCGGUGGAAUGCGCAGAUAUCAGGAGGAACACCAAUGGCGAAGGCAGAUCUCUGGGCCGUAACUGACGCUGAGGAGCGAAAGCGUGGGGAGCGAACAGGAUUAGAUACCCCUGUAGUC